rfam:Oryza sativa (indica cultivar-group) chromosome 12, whole genome shotgun sequence.
AACCACACUAUCAAUGGAUGGAUGCAUCCGUGAUAUGACGUGGUUGUUACACCUAGGAUAAGAACGUGGCAUCCUAUUACCAGCCAUCGUAUGAAAUUAAUAGGAUGCCACGUCUUUAUCAUAGGUGGAACAACCACGUCAUCUCACAGACGAAUCCAUUCAUUGAUAGUGUGGUU